ACAAGGGGGAUGCUUAGUACGGCGAGUGAGCGGCAAAGCUCAAAUUUGAAAUCUGGUACCUUCGGUGCCCGAGUUGUAAUUUGGAGAGGGCAACUUUGGGGCCGUUCCUUGUCUAUGUUCCUUGGAACAGGACGUCAUAGAGGGUGAGAAUCCCGUGUGGCGAGGAGUGCGGUUCUUUGUAAAGUGCCUUCGAAGAGUCGAGUUGUUUGGGAAUGCAGCUCUAAGUGGGUGGUAAAUUCCAUCUAAAGCUAAAUAUUGGCGAGAGACCGAUAGCGAACAAGUACAGUGAUGGAAAGAUGAAAAGAACUUUGAAAAGAGAGUGAAAAAGUACGUGAAAUUGUUGAAAGGGAAGGGCAUUUGAUCAGACAUGGUGUUUUGUGCCCUCUGCUCCUUGUGGGUAGGGGAAUCUCGCAUUUCACUGGGCCAGCAUCAGUUUUGGUGGCAGGAUAAAUCCAUAGGAAUGUAGCUUGCCUCGGUAAGUAUUAUAGCCUGUGGGAAUACUGCCAGCUGGGACUGAGGACUGCGACGUAAGUCAAGGAUGCUGGCAUAAUGGUUAUAUGCCGCCCAUCUUGAACCACGGACC
rnacentral:rRNA from 1 species